rnacentral:lncRNA from 1 species
AUUCCAGGCUCUGUGAACUAAGUGACUGAAGCUGAUUGACACAGGUCAAGGGGACUUCAAGGAAGAAAGCCAGCCUUAGACUGACAUCAGAGAACCAAACUCCGGUGUCUAAGCUCAAGAGGUUAGAAUCCUGAGAACUGUUUGGAAUAAGGAAUCCAAAUAUUGUCUUCCAGCUUCACCUUGUCACGACAGUCCUCGCCAGGGACAGCUGAGACCUCUUCUCUGCCUCCCAGCUCCCAUGGCGCCUCUCUCGAUACGUGGCCUCUUCUGAUACUUACCUCAGCUUGGACACAGCUCUCUGAAGAUCAUCUACAUCUCCAUUUAUGCCGUGUGCACGCAGUACCAACAGAGGUCAGAGGAGGGUGUCGGAUCCCCUGGAACUGGAGUCACAGAUUCUUGGGAGCAUAUCCAAUACUCUGUGACUGCCUAGGCGUCUCUCUCAGUCUAGUCUACAGCUGACAAGAUUAAUCAUGGCAGGUGCCAACAUCUAACUAAUGAUGCCUUGCGUGGAUGAAACAGUCCCAACGAACACUUUAAAAAGACAAAUGUUCCCGACAGCACUGGUUGAAUUCAAAACUCGGCAGAUCCAUGUUCUUAUCCUUAGACAAGAGAGGGGCCAUAACAAGAUGGAAUGACGGAACAGACGUGAGAGAUGAUGGUACAGUGACUCGGGUAACCCCAGAAAAGGGACAGCUCUUCUACAGCUCAGUGGGGACAGGGACAAAAAGAAACAAUUUCAUUUCAGUCCACCCAGAGGGUCUGCACUUCUCGGAGCCAGAAGGUGGAGAAGAGUAGGGAUGGAGGAAGUUCGAAGUUUUAGGAGUCUGCUCUUGGGUCCCUAGGCAUGAGGACAAGCUUUUCCUGUACUCAAUGCUCAUCUCUCAGUUGUGCCCACAUUGGUACACAUUACUUGCUUUCAACUGCUGCUGCUGCUGUUUCCUAAUUCAAUAAAGAUAUGGCUGGCUCAGCAGAGAGCUGUCAUCCA